rnacentral:rRNA from 1 species
UUACAAUGGCCGGUACAGAGGGCAGCUACCUGGAGACAGGAUGCGAAUCUCGAAAGCCGGUCUCAGUUCGGAUCGGAGUCUGCAACCCGACUCCGUGAAGCUGGAUUCGCUAGUAAUCGCGCAUCAGCCAUGGCGCGGUCGAAUACGUUCCCGGGCCUU